rnacentral:tRNA from 1 species
GGGGUUGUGGCUCAGUGGUAGAGCACUUGCCUAGCAUGUGCAAGGCCCUGGGUUCGAUCCUCAACACUA